UCACCAGACUCCUACGGGAGGCAGCAGUGGAGAAUAUUGCACAAUGGGGGGAACCCUGAUGCAGCGACGCCGCGUGGGUGAAGGAGCACCUCGGUGCGUAAAGCCCUAUCGGCAGGGAAGAAACAGACGGUACCUGACUAAGAAGCCCCGGCUAACUACGUGCCAGCAGCCGCGGUAAUACGUAGGGGGCAAGCGUUAUCCGGAUUCACUGGGUGUAAAGGGAGCGUAGACGGCGACGCAAGUCUGGAGUGAAAGCCCGGGGCCCAACCCCGGGACUGCUCCGGAAACUGCGUCGCUGGAGUACGGGAGGGGCAGGCGGAAUUCCUGGUGUAGCGGUGAAAUGCGUAGAUAUCAGGAGGAACACCAGUGGCGAAGGCGGCUUGCUGGACGAUGACUGACGUGGAGGCUCGAAAGCGUGGGGAGCAAACGGGAUUAGAUACCCCGGUAC
rnacentral:rRNA from 1 species